CUUCAGGGCAGUUCAGAAAACGCUGCAUUCAGUUAUCCACACACGGUUUUCAUUCAAGCAUAAGUUAAUGUGAGUCUUCUAAGAUGUAAAUUCACUGAUACAGAUUGUUGUGCUUCUUUAACACUCUCACUUAUUUCCAAGAUCCAACAUACCUACCCCCACGCCCCGAAAAGCAAACAAACAAACAAACAAACAAACCACAAGUCCAAGUCAGAUAUCAGGCAUUUGUACAUUGACAGGUUUAUUCUUAAAGCUUGAACAAAUACAUCUUUACACACACACAAGUUGGUAAAAAGUAAGCCCUUACUGCUUUGUUAAAAAUAAAACCCAUACAUAAAGCUUUCCGGUCAAAUUCCCGAAACAUGAAAACAUCACAUUUCUACAAUACAUCUGCUUUUUUGAUUCAUGUGUGUUUUCAACACAGCUCAACAACUCAUUCCGAUCUACCCAAACAAAGAGAAAACUAACUUCCAGACCAUGAAGGAAAAAAAAAUACAUGCCUCUUAUAACUGUUAAAGACAAGUAGCUAUAGAAUUCUGAAAAUUCUCAAUAAAUAGUUACUAGUAUAAAAAUGCUUAACUCCAUAUAGCUCACCUUUAAUCAAAGGCAGUACCAGUUAUCGCUAUAAUAAAGCACUCAAAGAACAUCGAAAUAACUUCAUAUCUAUAGCAACGAAGGGAACAUGGAACAUUAGCCCUCCUAAACAAUUCCAGAAGAGGGAAGUUCAUUAUGAAUUAAUACUUGGAAGAUUCUAGCCCAGCUAGAAUAGAUUUUAAAAAACUACAAUAAAGUAUAUAAAUAUGAAAUUCAGAAAAGCAGAUAAAGAAAAGCUGUCACUUAAUAACACAGGUGGCAGCAACCAAAAAUAUCAUUCCCUCUGGGGGGAAUUAAUGCUAGAUUAAUGUGAAUAAAAUAAAGGAAAAUGACAUAAAAUGAAGAUACAAAAUAAAAUUGAUCCUUGAUGUGAGAAUAACUGUAUUCCUUGCAUGUUCAGAAUGUCCUUAUGUUCUUCUAGAGAGACUUAGAAAAAAAAAGCCAUGCAAAUAAAAAUCUCAUUACAUGCCAGCUGAGUGACUUGCAAAGGUUUGCCCCAGAAGGGCUUUUUAAAGAGGCUAAAGACAUUCUAAUUGCCAUCCAAAUUGAUGUUUACACCAAAAUAAGAAGAAAUCAUCUACUCCCAAAGCAAAUCCUAUCUAUGGACUUCAUAGAAUCCCUUAUACUUUGUAACAUUUUCUGCUUCCUUCUUAAAAACCUAGGGGGAAGGUGAGCUCCUGGGACAUAAAUACGCAGGGAAAGAACCUCAUUAAGCCAGGCAGAGGAUGGCAAAGAUCAACAAAAGAAAAGAGUCCACCGCACUCCAGCCUGGGCAACAGAGCAAGGCCGCAUCUCUAAAAAGUAAUAAUAAAUAAAAGGAAAAAGAUGCAAGCAAAUUUCUGCAAAUAGAAGCGUUCACCCCACAGAUGAGAAAAGGGGACUCAGUCGUAACCAGGAGAGCCCGCGCAGGCACCUUGGUGGUCUGAAUCUAAUAGAUGCCACUCUCAAAUUCUGAGGAGGAUGAAUUAGCUACUGCUUAUCAGGCAACUAACAGAGCCGGCAACAGAAAGGUUACAAGGCCACCUUCGCAACCAGCCCUUUGAAACUGGAAACAAAGUUUUGGCCAGAGAUGAACACGCACCCAUAUGUCUGAAGACAAAAGUUUUUUAAGAGGGCACGGACUCCGGAUCUUUUAUCUUAUGAAUAGAUCCACUUUGGUUGGUAAUUCUUCUGCCUGACAGGCUGCCUUGGGCUACUACACAGCUGAUAUGAGUGGACAGCAAAGAGCUGUGUAAACCUGUCUAAAACAGUGCACUUGGUGGCUACAUACGGCUAAUCGCUGCUAGUGUUUAGAGUCUGUGGCUGACUCAUCUCAGUACGGUGACCUGGACUGCAGCAAGAUCGGGCACAGCUUCCCUUAGGUGGGAGAAAGAAGGAAUACCAUGGAGGUGUGUGUGGAUGUGUACGCACACAGGAGAGAGUCGGGGCUGGUGGGGAGGCAGAGAGAGAGAAAGGAAAGGCCAAAAGGAAAGUUAAAGGGAUUUACUUUAUUGAUGCUAAUGUAGGGGUCAGCUAACAGUAACAAGCUACUACUAUUAUUUCCCAAAGAUGGAACAAAGGGUGACGUUACCCGUUGAUGCUAGAUGAUGUCCUCAAACCUGACGUAGUAAAGGAAAAUCAACACAUUGUCUCACAGCUUUCUUACCUGGCAGCUGGCACCACAUUAGAAUCUCCAUGGCCGUGCAUGGUGGCUCAUGCCUGUAAUCCCAUCACUUUGGGAGGCCCAGGUGGCAGGAUCGCUUGAGCCCAGCCUGGGCAACACUGUGAGACCCCACCUAUAUUUAAAACAAAGGAAUCCCCAGUCUCUUUGAAGUAUGUGCCUUAGAAGGAAAGUUUCAGGACACUCUGGCACUUUUUUUCUAGUCUGGGAAGGGAUCUGUGGGCUUUCUACAAGGGAGCAAACAACCUCAAUUCUUUCCUCUGGGAUCCCGUCAGCUUCUCCUUCCCCAGAGGUCCUGACAUUGCUUACCAGCCAUUGACCUGAAAUGAACUGCUUCAACGUGUUCUGAAGGACCUUUAAAUAAGAGAUGGUAAUAAAUCCAGCUGCUACAGAAUGACAAGAAGAACAGUCAUGAUUGUAGUCAAUUUUAAAAAUAGACAUCCUUUCCCUUCUUGCUCCCUCCCAUAAAUACUAAAUGGAAGAAGACACAAAUAGAAAGAGAAGAAAGUAUUUUUAAUCUAUUAAGAAAAUGAAGAAAACAACCUAAUCAAUGUGGGAAACCAUACAAAAAAAAAAAAAAAAAACAGAAAAUAUUACAUAACCAGGCCUUUUAAAUAAGGAUGGAAUUCAAUAAAAAACUUAAAAUGCUUACAUCUUCUGAAAUAACCCAUGAUUAGCUCCAAGUUUUAGAAAGUUCUUGAACAAAAGGUACACAUCAAAGUAGUGAGGUAGCAGCCCCCACUUUCCCAAAAAGUUUUCAGGAAAAGGCUGCACAAGCACCUGUUGGUGAGGUCACCAGGAAGGAAUCUGCUUCCGGCAGGAAAUUGCACUGGGUGAGCUCUAAGGCUCCUAAACUCUAAGAUUCUCGUAUGUGCUGAAAACACUGCUAUGACGACAGUUUGAUCUGAUCAUCUAUGCAUUCCUCUGAAAUAAAUGAAGUCAAUUCAAAUAAGACAUUCUACAAAUUAGCCAAGCACAAUGAUAUAUUUUAAACCCACACUCAGACCGACAGUGUACACCAUAAAUUUGUACUAGAACAAUACCCAUAAAUAUAAAAAAUCUACUUAAUUUUAUACUUUGUUAGUUCCUACUUCAAAAUGCUAGUCAAUAUUCACUACAGAGAAGUGGGUAAAGAUACUUUUAUUUUAUUUUUUUUUUGAGACAGAGUCUCACUCUGCCCCCCAGGCUGGAGUGCAGUGGCGUGAUCUCGGCUCACUGCAAGCUCCGCCUCCCGGGUUCAUGCCAUUCUCCUGCCUCAGCCUCGUGAGUAGCUGGGACUACAGGCGCUCAUCACCAUGCCUGGCUAAUUUUUUUGUACUUUUAGUAGAGACGGGGUUUCACCGUGUUAGCCAGGAUGGUCUUGAUCUCCUGACCUCGUGAUCCACCCUCCUCAGCCUCCCAAAGUGCUGGGAUUACAGGAGUGAGCCACCGCACCUGGCCUGGUAAAGAUACUUUUAAAAUUAAAUUGCUAUAUAACAGAAAGUCUUCAUUAUUAAAUAUCAUUCUACCCAUCUUUGGAAUCAGUGUACCUUAUGGAUUUUUUUAAUCCUCUUUAAUCGAUCCCUCAGUAUGCUGGUGAGACAGGGAGGCACAGGUUAACCCCAUUUUACAGAUGAAGAAAUGGAGGCAAAGGGAGGCUGAGUGAUUUGCUCAGGGUCACCAAGUCUGCAGCUAAGCUGGAAAUAAAGUACCAAACUGCCUUUUCCACAAAAUCCUCAGUAAUACUCAGAGAGAGUGUCAUAUCUAGUACAUUUUACUCUUCACUUAAAACCAAGGGUUCAGGGAAAAAGGAAGGAAUUAAGUGAGCUCUUUGGGUAACCUUGUUUUCUUCUAGAGGAUGAAGGUAUUUCUCUUUAGAUACUGGUAGAUAUCAUUAGUAAAAACUGAAUGGUUUUUACUAAUAAAGCUGGGCACAGGCCAAGGCAGACAUGAAUGACAGGCUUUAUCUUUCAUGGCUCAGUUCUCACAAGAGGCUCACUGUACAAGGUCCAACUUUGCAUCUAACUUCAACACACAGCCUUCCCAAUCAUCUCACAGCGUUUAUUUGAACAAAAAAGACAGAAUUUAAUAUAUUCGUUGAUCUAAAGAAAUAAACAGUAUUAUUCAGUAAUAGUCCUAGUAUAUAAAAACGUGGCAUUCAUCUACAGCAAAGACAAAUUAUCGGUAUCUUUUCUUUAAAAAAUCACUUUUUUUUUUUUUUUUUUUUUUUUAAGACGGAGUCUCGCUCUGUCGCCCAGGCUGGAGUGCAGUGGUGUGGUGCGAUCUUGGCUCACUGCAAGUUCUGCUUCCCGGGUUCACGCCAUUCUCCUGCCUCAGCCUCCCAAGUACCUGGGACUACAGGUGCCCACCACCAUGCCUGGCUAAUUUUUUGUAUUUUUAUUAGAGACGGGGUUUCACCAUGUUAGCCAGGAUGGUCUCGACCUCGUGAUCUGCCCGCCUCGGCCUCCCAACACUUUUGUUUAAAAAAUGGAAAUUUCUUCUAAAAUGGUUUUUCAAAGCUAUGGCUCAUAAGGAAAUAACUAAUUGUCAAUGUCUAAAUACCUUAAAAAGAAGCAUAUAUGUAAGUAUUAGUCCAAUCAUGUGAAACCCAAUAAAACAAGAUUUGAUUUGAAAACAUUUUCAAUGAAAAGUGCAAAGGUUAAGGGAAAAACAGCAUCUGAUAUGUGCACCCUAUUGUAAAGAAUUGGUAUUUAAUGCUGCAAUGGAGUACUAACCACUAAUUUCCAGUUUGCCACAUGAAAGGCAUACUUCCAACUUUUAUUUUAUCCACAUUAAAAGUAUUUGUCUUUAAACAAAAAUAAAUUCCAGUUAGCCUUUGCUGGGAGAAACUUUUUUUUUUUUUUUUUUUUUGAGACAGAGUCUUGCUCUGUCGCCCAGGCUGGAGUGCAGUGGCGCGAUCUCGGCUCACUACAAGCUCCGCCUCCCGGGUUCAUGCCAUUCUCCUGUCUCAGCCUCCCCAGUAGCUGGGACUACAGGCGCCUGCCACCACGCCCGGCUAAUUUUUGUUGUAUUUUUAGUAGAGACAGGGUUUCACCAUGUUAGCCAGGAUGGUCUCAAUCUCCUGACCUUGUGAUCCGCCCGCCUCGGCCUCCCAAAGUGCUGGGAUUACAGGCAUGAACCACCGUGCCCGGCCUGGGAGAAACAUUUUUAAGUGUGCAAAGCAGUCACAAUGAAAAAAGCCCCGGAUGUUAGCAAAAAGAGUGAAUGUGUUUGCCGUUCUAUAAAUAAAAUGAGUUCACUAUAAAAAAAAUUGUUAUGAUGCUUUACUUAAUUUGCCCAUUUCUCAACAUAGGCUUUGAAAAAUUCCUCUAAAUGAAACAACUUUAUAAGGGAUGAAGAUGUCAUAAUGAUAUUUUCCACUGUAGAAACUUCUUAGGUUAUCACUCAAAAAACAAAACAAAAGCCAAAACCUAGCAGAAACAAAUGACUAAUCAAACUAAAAUUUCAAAGAGUAGAUUCAUCAAACUAAGAUCUCCCAUUAAGACAUCAACAAUGAAGUGGCUAAUAAAAAAGUAAGCAUCACAUUUAUGAUGUCUAGAUAAAAGUCAACCAAAUAAAUAAGAUGCAUCCCUUAAGUAACAACAAUAAAAAAAAAACCCAAAAACAAAACAAAGCAUCAAUGGAUGUUUUAAAUACCUAAAAUUUAGGUUGGGCACAGUGGCUCACGCCUGUAAUCCCAGCACUUUGGGAGGCCGAGGCAGGCAGAUCAUCAGGGCAGGAGUUCGAGACCAGCCUGACCAACAUGGUGAAACCCCAUCUCUACUAAAAAUACAAAAAAAAAAAAAAAAACCCUAAAAUUUAACACUAUGAAGUCUCUAUAUUAAAUCAAAAUCGUAACCAUCUUGAAAGCUAAAUUAAAAUAAUCCUGGAGCUCUGGAAUGUUAUUCCCUCUUAAAGCUGUAUUAGGUCUUUAGGAAAUCAAUGUGGUGUUACUAGUUUAUGUGUAUCCCAUUAUUCAUUUAAAAAGAAACGAACACAAAUAUUUCACACCCUUUUUCUUGAUUAAUCAUUUGUACCAGAGAAAACUCUGUAUAUACCAGUACAGGUGGGGGAUUACUGGCAGGGCAGAUAGUCGAUUUAAGGAGUGAGGGGCAGUCUUAUUAAUUUGGUAUUGUAAGCCCCCAAUACAUGUGUGUAUACACAUACAUAAACACACACCUAUGUAAUUUUCACAAGACCAAACUAUUAAAGUACCUAGAAAAUAGAAUAUUUUUUCCUCUAAACUAAGAUAUCUGUUUAUAUAGACUAUUGAUGCAAACUAAUUUUAAGUAAUUAUAGUGCAAGGAGCCUGAUGUAUGAAGAUUUGACAUUGUAAUUUAUAAUUCCUAAGUAAUUAUUAAAUGAUUAAUGUUUAAUCAUUAAUCAUUUAAUAAUAAAUGGCUACCAGAUUUAGAACAAAACUUACUGUAGCCAUUAUAAUCUGCUAACGUUUGAAAAACUUAACAUGAAAUCAGCACAGAAACUAAGUUUUUAGAAAUAGCCUACAUAAUGAAGAUUAUGUAUUAUAUAGUCACAAAUUUUUAUUUUAGAUUUCACAAUGUACACUUGUCUCAAGUAAGUCUAUUUAACUAGAAUUUUUAAAGACUUGCGAUUUUGCUAAAUGUAUCAUCAUUAGAAAAAGUUUUCUGGAUGUGUAUAUGAGCAGGGUUUGAUUAUUCUGACAUCAGAAAGCCAACACUAGAUUCCACAGCAAGGACACUGGAAUUUAAAAAUCUGGAAUACUUUAACAGUAGACUUUACUCAAAUAUCUAAAAGACGUAUCAGACUCACUCAGUAAAAAAUAUACUAUACUUACUACAAAUACAUUAUCUUCUAAGCCCAUUCUUAUUUUUAAAAAUAUGUACAACUAGACUAAUGAUGCCAAAUACUUACACAAGUUCAUGCAUUUUAGGUGUGCUUUAUUCAAAAUAUAUUAUUAAAAAAUGUCAAUACCUAGUUACUUCAAAAAAUACCUUCAAAAUGUUUACCAUUCAAAACAUAUAAAAAGCACUGACUUUAUUGUACUGCAAUAUAAAUUCUUCACAUAAAGAUUUUAUGUAAAACACUCUGCAGUUAGAAACAAUCUUAUUUACAUUUUCUAUAAAAGUAUUUUGAAGUUUUAAAAGUCUAAUCGAUUUUUUUCAAUACAUUUCAUCUCUUUGCUUUGCCAGGAACAAAGUUUCAAGUGAUAUCUCCAUCAGCGAAUAAAAAGAUGUAUAAGUUCACUCAUAUUGAUAAAACUUUUGCAUUCAAAUGAAUACAGAUUAUCUAGGAUAAAGAUAUUUCAAAUGUAUAUGAUGGGGCUAAGGGAGACAUAGCUUCUGACUACUUAGUAAAAUGGCAAAAUCAUGAAUGGCAUUAAUUUUCUGCUAUUUUAAAGGUAUUAUGUUUGAUGAAAAGACAACUGCUAUAAAUGACUUUCUGAAUAAAUAUUUCAGCUAACUGCACAAAUGAGCCUGCUUCUGAGACAAAGUUAACAUAGGUAAGAUGAGAGAGAUUUUAGAAAAGUGCUCACCAAAGAAAAACUGAACUCAAACAAAGGCCUGGUACUUACAUUAUUUUUUAUUUUUUAUUUUUUUGAGACGGAGUUUCACUCUGUCGCUUAGGCUGGAGUGCAAUGGCGUGAUCUCGGCUCACUGCAACCUCUGCUUCCUGGGUUCAAGAGAGUAUCCUGCCUCAGCCUCCCAAGUAGCUGGGCCCACAGGCACCCACCACCACGCCCAGCUAAUUUUUGUAUUUUUUUUUUUUUGAGACAGAGUCUUGCUCUGUUGCCCAGGCUGGAGUGCAGUGGCGCGAUCUCGGCUCACUGCAAGCUCUGCCUCCUAGGUUCACGCCAUUCUUCUGCCUCAGCCUCCCGAGCAGCUGGGACUACAGUCAUCCGCCACCACGCCCGGCUAAUUUUUUGUAUUUUUAGUAAAGACGGGGUUUCACCGUGUUAGCCAGGAUGGUCUCGAUCUCCUGACCUCGUGAUCCGCCCGCCUCAGCCUCCCAAAGUGCUGGGAUUACAGGCGUGAGUAGAGACAGCGUUUCGCCAUGUUGGCCAGGCUGCUCUCAAACUCCUGACCUCACGUGAUCCACCCGCCUUGGCCUCCCAAAAGGCCGGUGCUCCCAUUAUUAUAAUGAGUCCCAAAGUAAGAAAUUAAACUUUAGGGCAAAGAUACAAGUAAUGAUAAGCUGGAUAUGAUCACCAUGGAAACAUACAGCACUUUGACAUCUGUCCGAGCACUACCCAAUAAUGGGAAAAGUAUGAUUCCCAAGGAGGUUCCCUUUCUCUGUUAAGCUGGAACUUUGGUGUUUCCUGUAAGAGGCAAGUUUACUUUGUCCCCAAGAGCUUAAUCUCUAGUUAGAAAAGAUUUUCCAACCAUAACAUAACUAUGCUUCAGAGUUGAUGCCAAAGAAAGGGGGGCAGGAUGGCAUUCUCUGAAUAGCCAGGUGUUAGUACUGACUUCCUCAAACUAGCUACAGCCUUUCUAGCUAUGCGUGAUUUUUUUUUUUUUUUUUUUUGAGACGGAGUUUCACUCUUGUUGCCCAGGCUGGAGUGCAAUGGUGCGAUCUAGGCUCACUGCAACCUCUGCCUCCCGGGUUAAAGUGAUUCUCCUGCCUCAGCCUCUCAAGUAGCUGGGAUUACAGGCAUGCGCUACCACGCCCGGCUAAUUUUUGUAUUUUAUUAGAGAUGGAGUUUCUCCCUUUUGGUCAGGCUGUUCUCCAACUCCUGACCUCAGGUGAUCCACCCGUCUCGGCCUCCCAAAGUGCUGGGAUCACAGGCGUGAGCCACUGUGCACGGCCUGUGUGUGAUUUUUUAAAAUAUAAGAUAAAAUUCAUUUUAAGUGUACCAUUCAUUGUUUUUUACUACAUUUACAAUGUCUUGCAACCAUUACCACUACCUAAUUCCAGAACAUUUUGAUCACCCCAAAACCCCAUCACCUGUAUACAUUGUCACUCCCUAUUUCCCCCUCCCACCAGCCCCUGAAAAACACUAAUCUUUCUGUCUCUAUGGAUUUGCCCAUUCUGGACAUUUCAUGUAAGUGGAAUCAUACAAUACGUGGCCUUGUGUGUCUGGUUUCUUUACCUUUAACUGGUAGUUCUUCAGCCAUUCCAAAGGGGCUACAAUUUCGAGAAUACCAAGCCACAGGUGCUCAAGAUGGCGAAUCUGUCCUCCCAGUGCAGCCUAGUUUCUAUGGAGCUACCAUAUAUGACAGUGUCCUAUUAUUGCUGCCUUUUGAUCACAUGAACAUGGAUCAUAAUCAGAAGUACAAACUGUUAUCUCUGGAAUACGUCUUUGUAAUAAAAAAAAAUCCACUGGAUAAAGUUUCAAAAGUGGGAAAGAAUAACAAAGACAGGAAUAGAAUCCUUGAUCUGACUAUAAUAUUUUAACAGUGACAUGUGCCCAGAUUAUAUUUUUAUCUUGGUAACACUGAAAUUUAUGCUAUUCUGGAAGACAAAGACCACCAAGCCAUUUUUUGGUAUCACGAAGCAUUUAAUAAGUGCUUAGUUGCAUCUGAAAUGUUUUUCAAAAACAGAAGUUAAAAUGGGAAACCACAGUAGGAUGAUUCUUCAUCAGAUUUCAUGUCGAUAUUCAUAAAGAGACAUAAUUUCAGAGCUAAGUUUGUUCUCCAUAAAUCAGUUCCUGGAGUUUCAACUCAAAUUGUCAAAUAAUUGUGCUCCCGGUGAGAUUUUUAUGUAACACAGAAACUCAUAGUUAGGGAAUUGGGCUUGCAAAAGGUAGGCCAAAUAUUGAUGUAGUGUGGGUGAACUGUGAACUGCAUUAAGCUCUACAGAGUUUUUUCAAAAGGCUAAAAAUAUUUAUAUAAAGAAGAUGUAAUCAUCUAAAAGAUUCCAGUCUCUUUUUUCUCACUCCCAACCCCCACACAAGAAAAGUCUAUUUUAAUUACCACAAGUCCGACUCGGCAACCAUUUAGUAGCCUUUCUAUAAAAACAGGCUGCAAGUGCCAAAGUGACACAGAUCUUAUCUUAAAUAUUGUUAUAUUGCUUGUGUCUAGAGUAAUACCUGGCCUGAAAGAAGUGCUCAAAAACUAUUUAAUGGACAAAGGAACAAAUGAAUAAACCGGGUGCCUUCACAUAUGACCAUGUGACAACCAAGUUAUCAAUGCCAGAAGCCACUGCGGAGAAAUCAACAAUGGCGAUUAAAAAUGAUUACCACCAGAUUUUUGCUUUUGGCCACAAUAGAGUAGCUUGUGAUUGGACUAGCCCUCCUACUGAAAACAACGAUGAAAGCUAUAUUAACCCUUUUCCGGUUUAGAAAAAAAAAGUACAGCUCACUGCCAGCAUUCAUUUAAUUUUACGUAAACACAUUCUUUGAGGCUAAAGCAAAUCUGACUGAUUUUCAAUGUGAAAAUAAAAUAUAAAAACUGUUCUUGAUGUUAUUUCUAAACAGAUCUAGUAUCAGAAGCAUCUGAAUCAUCAAAAUCAUCUAUUUCAGAAAAAUCGAAUUCAUUAAAUAAAUCUCUGUCCAAGAACUGUUCGAGAAUGAUGUUAACAUCACGUGUAGGAAUGCUACAUUUUCUAGGAUUCGACAUUUUCAGCGAUCGAGAAUUAUUAUACUUUGUAAAUGGAAAUACCACUACUAAGAACAGAAUGCUAUAAAGAGAACGAUGUCCUUUUUUUCUGAAGUCAAUAUACUAGAGCUAAACGAAAGUAAUAAUAAAAGCGAGAGUUCGUGGCAAAGUUAUCUUGGGGUAAAUACUGCAGCAGCAAGUGCUGCUGGCAAGUAUUCUUGGGGCAAACAGGAAAAGGGUUAAGUAGAACAUCUUUUAUAGGCAACAGGGAGCAAACCAAUGCAGGGAGAACUUGACGAGCUGCAAUAAAAUAGCUGAAAGGAGGGAAAAAAGGGAAGCACACUUUGGUGAGCUCUGUGUUCAUUUUGAUUACUUCUUCAAGGCACUGCAAAUUCACAACACAGGGAAAUAAAUACCUAGCAGCAAGCAGUAAUCCCACUUGGUUGAAGAGACAAAAGUUGGAGCUUGGGAAAGUAGCUAGGACUUAAGGGGCAAAAUCCCAGAGCGAAGAAACCUCAGGGAAGUGAGCCUGAAAUACUGGUACAGUAUCUCCUUGAGGUGUCUGCCAAUUGCAGACUCCUGUGCAACAAGGUGAGACUUCAAGAAAUCCAGCAAAAAGCAGCAGAUGAGAGGCUAACGAGCUGAGCAGCUCUUAGUACUGAGGAGGGAAAGGUUGGAAUUCAAGGUCACCGAGGUGAAGUGGCCCUGAUAAACACCCUAGAUUUUCAGAUGAGAGCCCAAAGAGGCCAUAUGCUAGGAGUAAGAGCAAAACUGAAAUGUACAAGCCCAACAAAGUCUAAAACCAACCUUCAAUAGGAUUACAGUGAUAUGCCUGUAUUUUAUCAGACUGCAAGAAGAAAACAUAACCAUCUUAGAGGAAGAUAACAUCGUUCAAAGCCCCUACAGUAUUUAACACACAAUGUAUGACAUUUCACCAAACUUAUAAGGCAUGCUAAAAAACAGCACCAAAUGACUGACAACAGACAAUGGAAACAAACAACUAGUAGUAGUAAUCAGACACUGGAUUUCUCAGACAAGAGUUUUAAAAUUACUUUGAUUAAUGUGUUCAAGAAUAUAGAGGAAAAGACAAGAUAUGAUCAGAGACUUGGCACCUACAAAAAAGUGUCAUGGAUAUUUUAGAAUCCAAAAUAUAAGAUAUACAACUAAAUUUAAAAUUGAUUAGGCUCAGCAGAACAGGAUAAGUUAAUUAGGUCAGUAAAAACUAUACAGAUUGAAGUACAGGGAGAAAUUAAGAUGGCAAACAAAGGACUAUAACAGACAUAUGGAACAUAGUAUAACACACAAUCCUAGAAAACGGGAGAGAGAAAACGGAUUGGAAAAAACUAUUUGAAGAAUGACUGGUUAAGAAUUCUAAUAAGGAAGGACAUCAACCAACAGAUUCAGGAAGUUUACCAAUCUUAGGAUGGAUGAAGCUGGAAACCAUCAUUCUCAGCAAACUAUCAAAAGAUCAGAAAACUAAACACCGCAUGUUCUCACUCAUAAGUGGGAGUUGAACAAUGAGAACACAUGGAAACAGGGAGGGGAACAUCACACGCUGGGGCCUGUCGGGGGGUUGGGGGCUAGGGGAGGGAUAACAUUAGGAGAAAUACCUAAUUUGGUGACAGGUUGAUGGGUGCAGCAAACCACCAGGGCACGUGUAUACCUAUGUAACAAACCUGCACGUUCUGCACAUGUAACCCAGAACUUAAAAGUAUAAUAAAAAAUAAAAACAAAGACGAAGAGAAAAUCUUAAAAGUGACCACAGAAAAAAGACACAUUACCUUCAAAGGAAAUAUAACUAAUGGCUUUUUCCACAGAACUUAAGGAUUGGAAUGAUAUCUUGAAAAUGGUGAACCUAGGCUGGGCGCCAGUAGCUCACACCUGUAAUCCCAGCACUUUGGGAGGCCGAGGUGGGCAGAUCACUUGAGGUCAGGAGUUUGAGACCAGCCUCGCUAAUGUGGUGAAGCCCCAUCUCUACUAAAAACACAAAAAUUAGCCAGGCGUGGUGGUGCAUGCCUGUAAUCCCAGCUACCUGGGAGGCUGAGACACAAGAAUCACUUGAACCUAGGAGGUGGAGGUUGCAGUGAGCCAAGAUUGUGCCACUGCACUCCAGCCUGGGUGACAGAGUGAGACUUGGUCUCAAAAAUAAAAUAAAAUAAAAUGGUGAACCUAGUAUUUCAUACAAGGCAAAAAUAUCCUUCAAAAAUAAAGGUAACAUUGAAUUGUAUCUGAAUGGAAUGAUUAGAUGGGUAUAUUACAUGAUACAUGAAUUUUAUCUUAAAAAAAUAAAAAUACAGAAAAAUAAAGGCAAAAGAAAGAAGGUUUCAAAAAACAAAAGCUGAGAGAAUUCAUUGUCAGAAGACUGGCACUAAAAUAAAUACUAAAGAGAAUUCUCCAGAUGAAGAAAAGUAAUCCCAGAUGGAAGUAAAAAAGGCAGGAUGGAAAGAAAAACACCAGAAAACAUAAAUAUGUGAGCAAACAAACAAUAUAGAGUCUAUUUUUUUUUUUUUUUUUUUGAGAUGGAGUUUCGCUCUUGUUGCCCAAUCUGGAGUGCAAUGGUGCGACCUUGGCUCACUGCAACCUCCCUCUUCCGGGUUCAAGCGUUUCUCCUGCCUCAGCCUCCCAAGUAGCUAGGAUUACAGGCAUGCACUACCACUCCUGGCUCAUUUUUUGUAUUUUUAGUAGAAACGGG
rnacentral:lncRNA from 1 species